UCAAGCAACGUAUCGCAAAAUUUACUCACUUACCGCUCUCAGUAUUUAAUGUUCGCUUGUCUUGUUGUUCGUAGUGGUUGUAAAAUCUUGUAUUUCGUGCGUCAAGAGAUAUUAUUUGUCAUAAAAUUGACCAAUCAAAUUAGUGUUAAAGAAGAAUGGAUCGCUGGCUUAAAGGUGUUGCAAAAAAUGUGGUUCGCUUGGAUGAUGCGUCAAAUUCAAAUCAAGGUGAUAUGAUGGCGUCAAGUUCUAGUUUUAUGGUUUCAGGUUCAAGUAGUAAAACAUCUAAUGACACACUGAAGGUGAAAAAACAAAAGUAUGACGAAUCAUACAUUAAUCUCGGAUUUAUUGAUUCCAACGGCUCACCUCUUUGUAUGUUGUGCAGUAAACUCCUUCCUAAUAGUUCGAUGGUACCUGCUAAGAUGCGCGGACAUUUAAAAACUCUACAUCCCGGCUUCAAAAACAAAAGUAAAGAAUUUUUUCUACGUAAAAAAGAACAAUUAUUAAGAAGCCAAAAAACUAUGACGUAUGCGACUCAGACUGUGAAUGAAAAGGCCACGGAGGCGUCGUAUUUGGUUAGUUACCGCAUUGCCCAAGCAGCAAGGAAGCGCACACUAUCGCUGAAAAGCUAAUAAAAUCAUGUGUGGUAGACAUAACAAAAUGUAUGCUCGACGAAAAAUCUGUAAAGCAUCUUUCUACAGUGCCGCUUUCGAACGAUACAGUUACGCGCCGAAUUGGGGAUAUCGCAUAACAUAAAACAAGAACUGGUUUCACGGCUUCAAAAUAACAAAUUCGUCUUGCAAAUGGAUGAGUCGACUGAUGUUGCUGGACUGGCCAUCUUGCUAGUAAUUGUGUGAUAUCCAUAUAAACAUUCACUCGAAGAAGACUUGCUUAUGUGCUCAUCGCUGCGUACUAACACAACCGGAGAAGAAAUUUUUGACACGAUUAACAUAUUUUUUAAAGAAAACCAAGUCGAUUGGAAUGAUUGCAUUGAAAUUUGUACCGAUGGCAAUUAAUGAAUUAAAAAAAAUGAUUUUCAAUUUCUAGUAAACUGUUCAGUGAUUUCUUUCCUCUAUAAUUUCUUUUUUAGCUGCUGCAGUGUCUGUUUACGAUAAUUAUGGCAACACUAAGCCAACAAAAUGCAAUCUGCGAAGUCUGCGAGAAGGAGUUUCAGAAAGGAAGUUUCACCCAGAAUUUUUUGGCCAGGCAUACAAGGAACACAUUAUAUGUCCAAUGUAUACCAACGAUACCUAGACAUUUUCUUAUUUUAAUAGUUUAAACAAACAUUUUUGUUUAAUAUCCACAAAAUAAAGAUAAAACAAUCAUUUUUAAAUUUUAGGAAUUUUGAAGAAUAUAUCUCUUAUAGAGAACAAAGUAAUAGGGAAGUCGAUUAUGCUUGUCAGAUCCAAAAUAAAUUUGAGAAUGGAGGAUAACAUAUAUUUUACAAUUGUAACAGGAGAAACAUCAGAGGAUUUAAUAGCUUAUGUAAAAUGAGAAACAUUAAGUCUGGGGGAAGCAUAUGCAUCCAGGGACAUGCCUCUCAAGAAUUUUAGUUAAGGUUUUAAAGAAUGGAUCAGUUGUGACCAGAAGUGCUAGUUUAUAAUAUUAUAUAACCAUAUUUAUAAUAUGAUUAUAACCAAGCUGGAUGGAUUUAGUUUAUUCUCUACCAUUUUAGUUUUAAGUUGUUG
rnacentral:lncRNA from 1 species